GGUUAAGCGACUAAGCGUACACGGUGGAUGCCCUGGCAGUCAGAGGCGAUGAAGGACGUGCUAAUCUGCGAUAAGCGUCGGUGAGGUGAUAUGAACCGUUAUAACCGGCGAUUUCCGAAUGGGGAAACCCAGUGUGUUUCGACACACUAUCAUUAACUGAAUCCAUAGGUUAAUGAGGCGAACCGGGGGAACUGAAACAUCUAAGUACCCCGAGGAAAAGAAAUCAACCGAGAUUCCCCCAGUAGCGGCGAGCGAACGGGGAGGAGCCCAGAGCCUGAAUCAGUGUGUGUGUUAGUGGAAGCGUCUGGAAAGGCGCGCGAUACAGGGUGACAGCCCCGUACACAAAAAUGCACAUAUUGUGAGCUCGAUGAGUAGGGCGGGACACGUGGUAUCCUGUCUGAAUAUGGGGGGACCAUCCUCCAAGGCUAAAUACUCCUGACUGACCGAUAGUGAACCAGUACCGUGAGGGAAAGGCGAAAAGAACCCCGGCGAGGGGAGUGAAAAAGAACCUGAAACCGUGUACGUACAAGCAGUGGGAGCCUCUUAAUGGGGUGACUGCGUACCUUUUGUAUAAUGGGUCAGCGACUUAUAUUCUGUAGCAAGGUUAACCGAAUAGGGGAGCCGAAGGGAAACCGAGUCUUAACUGGGCGUUAAGUUGCAGGGUAUAGACCCGAAACCCGGUGAUCUAGCCAUGGGCAGGUUGAAGGUUGGGUAACACUAACUGGAGGACCGAACCGACUAAUGUUGAAAAAUUAGCGGAUGACUUGUGGCUGGGGGUGAAAGGCCAAUCAAACCGGGAGAUAGCUGGUUCUCCCCGAAAGCUAUUUAGGUAGCGCCUCGUGAAUUCAUCUCCGGGGGUAGAGCACUGUUUCGGCAAGGGGGUCAUCCCGACUUACCAACCCGAUGCAAACUGCGAAUACCGGAGAAUGUUAUCACGGGAGACACACGGCGGGUGCUAACGUCCGUCGUGAAGAGGGAAACAACCCAGACCGCCAGCUAAGGUCCCAAAGUCAUGGUUAAGUGGGAAACGAUGUGGGAAGGCCCAGACAGCCAGGAUGUUGGCUUAGAAGCAGCCAUCAUUUAAAGAAAGCGUAAUAGCUCACUGGUCGAGUCGGCCUGCGCGGAAGAUGUAACGGGGCUAAACCAUGCACCGAAGCUGCGGCAGCGACGCUUAUGCGUUGUUGGGUAGGGGAGCGUUCUGUAAGCCUGUGAAGGUGUGCUGUGAGGCAUGCUGGAGGUAUCAGAAGUGCGAAUGCUGACAUAAGUAACGAUAAAGCGGGUGAAAAGCCCGCUCGCCGGAAGACCAAGGGUUCCUGUCCAACGUUAAUCGGGGCAGGGUGAGUCGACCCCUAAGGCGAGGCCGAAAGGCGUAGUCGAUGGGAAACAGGUUAAUAUUCCUGUACUUGGUGUUACUGCGAAGGGGGGACGGAGAAGGCUAUGUUGGCCGGGCGACGGUUGUCCCGGUUUAAGCGUGUAGGCUGGUUUUCCAGGCAAAUCCGGAAAACCAAGGCUGAGGCGUGAUGACGAGGCACUACGGUGCUGAAGCGACAAAUGCCCUGCUUCCAGGAAAAGCCUCUAAGCAUCAGGUAACAUCAAAUCGUACCCCAAACCGACACAGGUGGUCAGGUAGAGAAUACCAAGGCGCUUGAGAGAACUCGGGUGAAGGAACUAGGCAAAAUGGUGCCGUAACUUCGGGAGAAGGCACGCUGAUAUGUAGGUGAAGCGACUUGCUCGUGGAGCUGAAAUCAGUCGAAGAUACCAGCUGGCUGCAACUGUUUAUUAAAAACACAGCACUGUGCAAACACGAAAGUGGACGUAUACGGUGUGACGCCUGCCCGGUGCCGGAAGGUUAAUUGAUGGGGUUAGCGGUAACGCGAAGCUCUUGAUCGAAGCCCCGGUAAACGGCGGCCGUAACUAUAACGGUCCUAAGGUAGCGAAAUUCCUUGUCGGGUAAGUUCCGACCUGCACGAAUGGCGUAAUGAUGGCCAGGCUGUCUCCACCCGAGACUCAGUGAAAUUGAACUCGCUGUGAAGAUGCAGUGUACCCGCGGCAAGACGGAAAGACCCCGUGAACCUUUACUAUAGCUUGACACUGAACAUUGAGCCUUGAUGUGUAGNNNNNNNNNNNNNNNNNNNNNNNNNNNNNNNNNNNNNNNNNNNNNNNNNNNNNNNNNNNNNNNNNNNNNNNNNNNNNNNNNNNNNNNNNNNNNNNNNNNNNNNNNNNNNNNGGGUUGCGGACAGUGUCUGGUGGGUAGUUUGACUGGGGCGGUCUCCUCCUAAAGAGUAACGGAGGAGCACGAAGGUUGGCUAAUCCUGGUCGGACAUCAGGAGGUUAGUGCAAUGGCAUAAGCCAGCUUGACUGCGAGCGUGACGGCGCGAGCAGGUGCGAAAGCAGGUCAUAGUGAUCCGGUGGUUCUGAAUGGAAGGGCCAUCGCUCAACGGAUAAAAGGUACUCCGGGGAUAACAGGCUGAUACCGCCCAAGAGUUCAUAUCGACGGCGGUGUUUGGCACCUCGAUGUCGGCUCAUCACAUCCUGGGGCUGAAGUAGGUCCCAAGGGUAUGGCUGUUCGCCAUUUAAAGUGGUACGCGAGCUGGGUUUAGAACGUCGUGAGACAGUUCGGUCCCUAUCUGCCGUGGGCGCUGGAGAACUGAGGGGGGCUGCUCCUAGUACGAGAGGACCGGAGUGGACGCAUCACUGGUGUUCGGGUUGUCAUGCCAAUGGCACUGCCCGGUAGCUAAAUGCGGAAGAGAUAAGUGCUGAAAGCAUCUAAGCACGAAACUUGCCCCGAGAUGAGUUCUCCCUGAGACUUAGAGUCUCCUGAAGGAACGUUGAAGACGACGACGUUGAUAGGCCGGGUGUGUAAGCGCAGCGAUGCGUUGAGCUAACCGGUACUAAUGAACCGUGAGGCUUAACCUU
rnacentral:rRNA from 1 species